CCCAUAGUUCGCUCUCCCAAAGCCUGGGUGAGAGCCGAGCUGCCACAGAGUGCGUGUUCACAAAGGGUCACCACACACGGAGCUGCCCCUCCCUGCCUCCCUAAACCUCACCUUCGAGGCCAGGGGCUUUUCCACCAGGAUUCUGGGGUGCUUCUCCUCCUUUCCUCCCUCCCAGAUCUUCUCACGGUUGGAUUCCUUAACCAUUAAACAAGUCUUCGGCCCAAACCUGGGAUAUAAAAGAUGCCUGCUAUGAUUGCUUGUUCUGGUCUCAUCAAAAAGAUUAGAGUUGAAGUUUAUACAUUCACAUGAUUCAAAAUUCGAAAGGUACAAAAGGAUACACAGUGAAAAGUCUUCUUUCCACACCUGUCCCUCAGCUACCUAGUACCCUGCCUGGGAAGCAACAAAUGCUAACAGUUUUUUUGUGUAUUUUGUAAAAAAAUGUUACCGUAUACAAGCACAUAAGUACUAUAUAUAUUUUAUUUUUUAUUUUCUUUUUUUAUAUAAUAGUACAUAAUGUGUAUAUUGUUUAUGUAUCUUAUUUGUUCACUUAUGUUAGACGUUCUAUAUUCUUGUAUAAGGUGUUUCCUCAUUCUUUUUUAUGGCUGCAUGAUAUUCCAUUGUAUGUUGUAUCAUUAUUUCAUCAGUCCUCUCCUUUCGGACACUGAAGUUUUUAUUCAGAUCUUUAUUAAAAGCAUUGUGUAAAGAA